GAGAGUGUAGCUCAGUGGUAGAGCACAUGCUUAGCAUGCAGGAGGUCCUGGGUUCAAUACACAGCACCUCCA
rfam:Camelus ferus unplaced genomic scaffold scaffold163, whole genome shotgun sequence.